rnacentral:rRNA from 1 species
UGGCGGUAUGCUUAACACAUGCAAGUCGAACGGUAACAGGCCUUCGGGCGCUGACGAGUGGCGGACGGGUGAGUAACGCGUAGGAAUCUGCCUCGUAGUGGGGGGCAACGUGGGGAAACUCACGCUAAUACCGCAUACGCCCUAAGGGGGAAAGGAGGGGAUCUUCGGACCUUUCGCUAUGAGAUGAGCCUGCGUUAGAUUAGCUAGUUGGUAGGGUAAAGGCCUACCAAGGCGACGAUCUAUAGCUGGUCUGAGAGGACGAUCAGCCACACUGGGACUGAGACACGGCCCAGACUCCUACGGGAGGCAGCAGUGGGGAAUAUUGGACAAUGGGCGAAAGCCUGAUCCAGCAAUACCGCGUGUGUGAAGAAGGCCUUAGGGUUGUAAAGCACUUUCAAUUGGGAGGAAAACCUACCGGUCAAUACCCGGUAGCUUGACAUUACCUUUAGAAGAAGCACCGGCUAACUCCGUGUACGUG